rnacentral:rRNA from 1 species
CAGCCGCCGCGGGAAUACGAAGGGGGCUAGCGUUGUUCGGAUUUACUGGGCGUAAAGCGCACGUAGGCGGAUCGAUCAGUCAGGGGUGAAAUCCCAGAGCUCAACUCUGGAACUGCCUUUGAUACUGUCGAUCUGGAGUAUGGAAGAGGUGAGUGGAAUUCCGAGUGUAGAGGUGAAAUUCGUAGAUAUUCGGAGGAACACCAGUGGCGAAGGCGGCUCACUGGACACGUAUUGACGCUGAGGUGCGAAAGCGUGGGGAGCAAACAGGAUUAGAUACCCGCGUAGUCCCUGUCUCUUAUCC